AUUGAACGCUGGCGGCAGGCCUAACACAUGCAAGUCGAGCGGAUGAAGGGAGCUUGCUCCUGGAUUCAGCGGCGGACGGGUGAGUAAUGCCUAGGAAUCUGCCUGGUAGUGGGGGAUAACGUCCGGAAACGGGCGCUAAUACCGCAUACGUCCUGAGGGAGAAAGUGGGGGAUCUUCGGACCUCACGCUCUCAGAUGAGCCUAGGUCGGAUUAGCUAGUUGGUGGGGUAAAGGCCUACCAAGGCGACGAUCCGUAACUGGUCUGAGAGGAUGAUCAGUCACACUGGAACGGAGACACGGUCCAGACUCCUAAGGGAGGCAGCAGUGGGGAAUAUUGGACAAUGGGCGAAAGCCUGAUCCAGCCAUGCCGCGUGUGUGAAGAAGGUCUUCGGAUUGUAAAGCACUUUAAGUUGGGAGGAAGGGCAGUAAGUUAAUACCUUGCUGUUUUGACGUUACCAACAGAAUAAGCACCGGCUAACUUCGUG
rnacentral:rRNA from 1 species